GCAUGAAAUAAAUAAACGGGUGAAUUCAUGAAAUAACAAAACGAAUGGUCGAAUACAUGAAAUAACAAAACUGAUAAACAGACCUGCAACAGACAUAUUAGCCUAAGCAAUUGUCACUGUGCUCUCAACUCAACAGUUGUCUUAGGUAUAAGUCGCUUAUUUAAAAAUAUGUGUGGUGUGUCUUAAUUCCCUUGCACAACAGUAAAUAUCAAUAACAACAAAGGACGGAAA
rnacentral:lncRNA from 1 species